UUUGGUCGCUAGAUUUUUCUUAGAAAUUUACAGGCUGCUGCAUGCAUCUUUUUGCGGCAGGGGUGGUGGCUUUGGCUUGCCUGCAUGGAUGCCCAGUACGUGGGUGUGCAUGCGUGCGUCAUUACAAUCACAAUUACAAUUGAUAACUUGGACGACGCUAGUAUUUGACAGCUUGGGAUUCUCCUCCAAACCUCUCUCGUUACGUUACGUUACAACUGAUAACCGGCGGCGCGCGCGUUCUCUCUCCUUCUCCAUCCAGCGGCGCGGCUCAUCACAUGUCGAGGAGGUGCGUGGACGGGAGGCCCGCCGCAGAGGCGGCGGGCGGCAGGUGCGCGGCGGAGGAGUGGAGCAUGGUGGUGAGCUCCUUGGACGCGACGAUGGACUUGUAGAUCUCGAAGAUGAGGCGCUGCUCGAACUCCGUGGGCUUGCCGGGCGCCGGGAGCUGCUGCUGCUGCUGCUUGUGGCGCGGCACCCGCUUGGCCCAGAGCGCCUCGACGGCGCCCGGCAGCGCGAGCGCCGACGCGCGCCUGCCCAGCGCCAGCAUGCCGCCCACGUACGCGUCCCGCGCCCGCGCCAGCGCGCGCCGCGGGCCCGCCAGGAGCACGCGCACCCGCCGCCGCACGCGCGCGCCGCCGCCGCCGGAGCCCAGCUGCCGCGAGCGGGGCUGCUUGCCGUCGGCGCCGCCCGCCAGGCGGUGGUACUUGUGGCGCCGCCAGUAGGCGCGCACGCCCCGCGUGAACCGUAUCGGGAACGCCUCCGCUUCCAUGGGUUUCGAGCUGGUGGUGGAGCGAAGCGAGUGCUGGUUUGGUGGAUGGACUGACU
rnacentral:misc_RNA from 1 species